rnacentral:rRNA from 1 species
AUUGAACGCUGGCGGCAGGCCUAACACAUGCAAGUCGAACGGUAACAGGAAGCAGCUUGCUGCUUCGCUGACGAGUGGCGGACGGGUGAGUAAUGUCUGGGAAACUGCCCGAUGGAGGGGGAUAACUACUGGAAACGGUAGCUAAUACCGCAUAACGUCGCAAGACCAAAGAGGGGGACCUUCGGGCCUCUUGCCAUCGGAUGUGCCCAGAUGGGAUUAGCUUGUUGGUGAGGUAACGGCUCACCAAGGCGACGAUCCCUAGCUGGGCUGAGAGGAUGACCAGCCACACUGGAACCGAGACACGGUCCAGACUCCUACGGGAGGCAGCAGUGGGGAAUAUUGCACAAUGGGCGCAAGCCUGAUGCAGCCAUGCCGCGUGUAUGAAGAAGGCCUUCGGGUUGUAAAGUACUUUCAGCGGGGAGGAAGGUGUUGUGGUUAAUAACCGCAGCAAUUGACGUUACCCGCAGAAGAAGCACCGGCUAACUCCGUGCCAGCAGCCGCAGUAA